rfam:Sorghum bicolor cultivar BTx623 chromosome 6, whole genome shotgun sequence.
CAGGCAAGAGCCACUCAGGCUAGCCAAGGUGACCGCCCACAAACCCAACUGAACUGGCCAUGCAACCGGAACUCGCAAGGCCGUGUAGGCAAGUCAUCCUUGGCUACCAAAGGCAGGCUCUCGCCA